UUUCUUUUGUUUGCGAGGGGACUACAGCAUUGUUUGGUUUUUUUUACUGUGAAGCCUCUCGGAGAUCUCAGGAUUGCUUUCCAUAUGAUUAUAAGGGCAUAAGACAUAGGAGCGAAUUAGCCGCUUCGGCCCGUCUUAUUUGCUCCGCCAUUCAGUCAUCCUCGAGACAUUAAUGCUUUUGCGGCUUUGACACAAGGCCGGAUGAGACGCUCCGAUUCGGGCCUGAUUGUGCUUUGGUCUUCCUUUUAUUUUCAAUGUGGAUGUGGUCCUAUUGGAGUCUGUGAUGUACAGUUGCAGUUCUCUGCAAGUGGGGUCUCAGACAUGCUAUGUGACCUGGUGUUCCGAUAUCUCCAGUUGUGGCCUGGAAGAGAUGAGCCUUCAAGGUGCAGAUGGUAGACAACUUGGUUCCUCACCAAUGCUACCAACUGAAAUGUCAGAAGAAUCUGAAAUAUCGAGACAGUAGGCAAUGUGUGGUUCUACCGUCAGAAAAAAUCCUCUGCACUUGAGUCAUCCUCUCUCACUCUCUCUUGAAGCUCCAGACAACAAAUGGCGACAAACCGGUCGAACGUGAAAGCGACCGUCAACCACACAGAGCAAUCCCUGCUGAAAUAAAUCAGCGCCGUGCUGAGACUACAGGCGGGAGUGAUGGAGAGCAAACUGUUCCCGAAAAAGAUAUCAGUGAUUCUUUUCAGUAUCACGUUCGUGAUAAUGUCCAGCAGAUCCGUCACCGCCAUUGCCACUAGGUAAUAAGUGACGCAUUUGGAGAGACCGCAUCUUCCCCGUGAUAGGACCACAACUGCUGCCAAAGUCGCUGUUAAGGGAACAAGAAGAACGGUUCGAGACUGAAUGUUUGAAGUCUCAGUACAGAUGAGAAUUCAUGAGAUGACUUUAUAAAUGACGCUAUAAGGGUAAAAAUAAAAUUCACUCGAGUGAUUCCUAAAAUUGUAGCACGGUAAAAGGUAGGAAUUGGACGACUGGGCCCAUGGAAGGCUAUUGGAUUUUUAGUUGUGUAUCCUCGAUUACGAGAAAUGGAAAUAAGGGAUUAUCCUUAAAAGUUCAGUU